rnacentral:rRNA from 1 species
CAGCAGCCAGGGAAUACGUAGGGCGCAAGCGUUAUCCGGAAUUAUUGGGCGUAAAGAGCUCGUAGGCGGUUUGUCGCGUCUGCCGUGAAAGUCCGGGGCUCAACCCCGGAUCUGCGGUGGGUACGGGCAGACUAGAGUGAUGUAGGGGAGACUGGAAUUCCUGGUGUAGCGGUGAAAUGCGCAGAUAUCAGGAGGAACACCGAUGGCGAAGGCAGGUCUCUGGGCAUUAACUGACGCUGAGGAGCGAAAGCAUGGGGAGCAAACAGGAUUAGAUACCCCAGUAGUCCCUGUCUCUUAUACA